UUCAAUUCUAAUACAAGUGUUUUGAGCUGACGAGCAGCUCGUGGUGUCGCUGGAGAUGUCCUUUGAGGCACUUCUGAAGAUGAACUUCUGCAUCCAUU